UCGAGCGGCAGCGCGGGGGCAACCUUGGCGGCGAGCGGCGAACGGGUGAGUAAUACAUCGGAACGUGUCCUUGAGUGGGGGAUAGCUCGGCGAAAGCCGGAUUAAUACCGCAUAAGCUCUGAGGAGGAAAGCGGGGGACUGGUAACGGCCUCGCGCUGUUGGAGCGGCCGAUGUCGGAUUAGCUAGUUGGUGGGGUAAAGGCCCACCAAGGCGACGAUCCGUAGCUGGUCUGAGAGGAUGAUCAGCCACACUGGAACUGAGACACGGUCCAGACUCCUACGGGAGGCAGCAGUGGGGAAUUUUGGACAAUGGGGGCAACCCUGAUCCAGCCAUUCCGCGUGAGUGAAGAAGGCCUUCGGGUUGUAAAGCUCUUUCGGACGGAACGAAAUGGUUACGGUGAACACCCGUGACUGAUGACGGUACCGUAAGAAGAAGCACCGGCUAACUACGUGCCAGCAGCCGCGGUAAUACGUAGGGUGCGAGCGUUAAUCGGAAUUACUGGGCGUAAAGCGUGCGCAGGCGGCGGCUCAAGUCAGGUGUGAAAUCCCCGGGCUUAACCUGGGAAUUGCGCUUGAAGCUAGGUUGCUAGAGUGUGGCAGAGGGGGGUGGAAUUCCACGUGUAGCAGUGAAAUGCGUAGAGAUGUGGAGGAACACCGAUGGCGAAGGCAGCCCCCUGGGUCAACACUGACGCUCAGGCACGAAAGCGUGGGGAGCAAA
rnacentral:rRNA from 1 species